rnacentral:ncRNA from 1 species
UAAAAAUAGCGCCGGGUCUGCUUGCACUGUAAUUGGCAGAUGACGAGGAAGAAGUUAUCGAAAUAUUCGGCGGAUGCUUCUUGUCCCGUAUGUGCGGGGACAUAAACAUUUACUAAAAACUGCCGGUGACGGCAAAACAGAGGUAAA